ensembl:misc_RNA Metazoa_SRP Metazoan signal recognition particle RNA
GCCAGGUGCGGUGGCUCACACCUGUAAUCCUAGUACUAUGGGAGGCCGAGGUGGGUGGAUCACUGGAGCCCAGGAGUUCGAGACCAACCUGGGCAACACAGUGAGACCCCGUCUCUA